rnacentral:tRNA from 1 species
CCGUUCGCUGGCAUGCUUGUCGGUGCGCAGCGGCUUUGAUCUGCUGUUGACCGGGUUGCGAAUGCCGGCGGGUAGC